CCUACGGGAGGCUGCAGUGGGGAAUAUUGGACAAUGGGCGAAAGCCUGAUCCAGCCAUGCCGCGUGUGUGAAGAAGGCCUUCGGGUUGUAAAGCACUUUCAGUGGGGAAGAAAGCCUUGGGGCUAAUACCCUCGAGGAAGGACAUCACCCACAGAAGAAGCACCGGCUAACUCCGUGCCAGCAGCCGCGGUAAUACGGAGGGUGCGAGCGUUAAUCGGAAUUACUGGGCGUAAAGCGCGCGUAGGCGGUCUGAUAAGCCGGUUGUGAAAGCCCCGGGCUCAACCUGGGAACGGCAUCCGGAACUGUCAGGCUAGAGUGCAGGAGAGGAAGGUAGAAUUCCCGGUGUAGCGGUGAAAUGCGUAGAGAUCGGGAGGAAUACCAGUGGCGAAGGCGGCCUUCUGGACUGACACUGACGCUGAGGUGCGAAAGCGUGGGUAGCAAACAGGAUUAGUACCCCGGUAGUC
rnacentral:rRNA from 1 species